rnacentral:miRNA from 1 species
UGCCUUCUAGAAUUGAUCGGA